rnacentral:tRNA from 1 species
GCCUGGGUGGCUCAGUCAGUUAAGCGUCCGACUUCGGCUCGGGUCAUGAUCUCACAGUUCAUGGGUUCAAGCCCCACAUCAGGCU